rnacentral:tRNA from 1 species
GUUGAGAUGGCCGAGUUGGUCUAAGGCGCCAGAUUAAGGUGUUGGUCCGAAAGGGCGUGGGUUCAAAUCCCACUCUCAACA